rnacentral:snRNA from 1 species
AUACUUACCGGCCAGGGGAGAUACCAUGAUCACGAAGGUAGUUUUCCCAGGGUGUGGCUUAUCCUUUGGACUCCAGAUGUGCUGACCCCUGUGAUUUCCCCAAAUGUGGGAAACUCAACUGCAUAACAUGUGGUAGUUGGGGAAGGGGAAGAAAAAACAUUUUAGUCCUAA